CCUUUUAAUUUGGUUUCCCUUUAAAAGCUCGUAGUUGGAUUUUGGUUAAGAGGGCGCGGUCGGCCGUUUGGUCUGUACUGUUUUUGUCUUGACUUCCUGAUGAGGACAUGCUCUUGGUUAACGCUGACACAUGGAGUCAUCGUGGUUACUUUGAAAAAAUUAGAGUGUUCAAAGCGGGCUUACGCUUGAAUAUAUUAGCAUGGAAUAACACUAUAGGACUCCUGUCCUAUCUCGUUGGUCUCGGGAUGGGAGUAAUGAUUAAGAGGAACAAUUGGGGGCAUUCGUAUUUCAUUGUCGGAGGUGAAAUUCUUGGAUUUAUGAAAGACGAACUUCUGCGAAAGCAUUUGCCAAGGAUGUUUUCAUUAGUCAAGAACGAAAGUUGGGGGCUCGCGAUGAUUAGAUACCAUCCUAGCCUCAGCCAUAAACGCUGCCGACUAUGUUUUGGUGGAUGUUAAUUGAUGACUUCACCAGCACCUUUUGAGAAAUCAAUGUUUUUGGGUUCCGGGGCGUGUAUGGCCUCAUGGCUGGAACUUGAAGGAAUGGCGGAUGAGCACCACCGGGCGUGGGGCCUGACGCUUAGUUGGACUGAAAUCGGAAAUCUAACCAACCCGGGACACUGAAAUUUCGCAAGACGAUGACUCUGUCUGAUUCGGUAGGGCAUGGCGAUUCGGCAUUUAGUUGAGGCAAGUGGAGGCGGGAAUUCGAUGCGAACGGACUCCUCCUGCUCAACAUGCACCCCCCUUUUGGUAGAUAUUCAUUGUCUGGACUCGUGAGAAUGAGGGGACGAAAACAAUAGUG
rnacentral:rRNA from 1 species